UCUAAUACCGGAUACUGACCCGCUUGGGCAUCCAAGCGGUUCGAAAGCUCCGGCGGUGCAGGAUGAGCCCGCGGCCUAUCAGCUUGUUGGUGAGGUAAUGGCUCACCAAGGCGACGACGGGUAGCCGGCCUGAGAGGGCGACCGGCCACACUGGGACUGAGACACGGCCCAGACUCCUACGGGAGGCAGCAGUGGGGAAUAUUGCACAAUGGGCGAAAGCCUGAUGCAGCGACGCCGCGUGAGGGAUGACGGCCUUCGGGUUGUAAACCUCUUUCAGCAGGGAAGAAGCGAAAGUGACGGUACCUGCAGAAGAAGCGCCGGCUAACUACGUGCCAGCAGCCGCGGUAAUACGUAGGGCGCGAGCGUUGUCCGGAAUUAUUGGGCGUAAAGAGCUCGUAGGCGGCUUGUCACGUCGGUUGUGAAAGCCCGGGGCUUAACCCCGGGUCUGCAGUCGAUACGGGCAGGCUAGAGUUCGGUAGGGGAGAUCGGAAUUCCUGGUGUAGCGGUGAAAUGCGCAGAUAUCAGGAGGAACACCGGUGGCGAAGGCGGAUCUCUGGGCCGAUACUGACGCUGAGGAGCGAAAGCGUGGG
rnacentral:rRNA from 1 species